GAUGAACGCUAGCGGCAGGCCUAACACAUGCAAGUCGAGGGGUAACAGGAGAAAGCUUGCUUUCUCGCUGACGACCGGCGCACGGGUGCGUAACACGUAUACAAUCUGCCCCUAUCUGGAGAAUAGCCCAUAGAAAUGUGGAUUAAUACUCCAUAAUAUCUCAAAUUCGCAUGUUUUUGAGAUUAAAGCUCCGGCGGAUAGGGAUGAGUAUGCGGCCCAUUAGUUUGUUGGUGAGGUAACGGCUCACCAAGACUACGAUGGGUAGGGGUUCUGAGAGGAUGACCCCCCACACUGGUACUGAGACACGGACCAGACUCCUACGGGAGGCAGCAGUGAGGAAUAUUGCGCAAUGGACGAAAGUCUGACGCAGCCAUGCCGCGUGCAGGAAGACGGCCCUACGGGUUGUAAACUGCUUUUAUUUGGGAAGAAACCCUCCUACGUGUAGGGGGCUGACGGUACCAAACGAAUAAGCACCGGCUAACUCCG
rnacentral:rRNA from 1 species